ACACGAUUUCUAUCUCUAGGUUUUGAAGAAUCAAUACCAUUGUGAUAAAUGUGGAAUCUGCAGAACUGGAGGCAAAGAGAACUUUUUCCAUUGUAAUAAAUGUGGUUGUUGCUAUUCAAGGUUGAUGAAGGAUUCGCAUAUCUGCAUAGAAAAAGCAAUGCACCAUAAUUGCCCUGUUUGUUUUGAGUAUCUUUUUGAGACAA